AGUGAUACAAUCCACAUUGGAACCCAAAGUUGUGUGAGGCCCAGAGUCCUCUGAAAUGUGGGGCACAUUGCACAGAGCAGGCAGCGAUUUAUGUUGGACUCCAGGAGUCUUGUGAUGGCAGUCUAGGGAGGGGCAGACUUUUGUUCCUCUUUCACAAGGGAGGGAGGGCCUCGGGGAGGGGGGCCGCAGGCCUAGGAGGUCCUGGGUACUUUCGGGGUGAAAGGGCUGGGAUGGUGGAACAGGGAGUGUGUCAAAGCCAGAGAGAUUAGAUUACGGAGGCAGACAGAAGUAAUGAUUAACUUCUCCAGUCUGCACGCCGUCUCCAGUCGGUCGUUCUGUUGUUUUCCCUGUGAGUACAGUGUGGCCCUGGCCUGGCCAGGGCUGGUGUUGGGUUGUAAAGAAAGAGAAGGAAUGAGGGCUCUGGGAAUGAGCAGGGGGCGGGGAGCCAGGGAGCUGGCUGGAGAGGGAGGCUUUUCCAUCAGAUCCUGCGCUGGAAUUUAUUGGCCGGAAUGCAGUAAAUGUUCAAAAUGCCAUCCCAUCCAGCAGUUUUCAUAAUUGUUAUGGAACAAGGGGAUCUGGGGGAGGGGAGGGAUGAAAAGGACUUUUGUUUCUCACUGUAUUUUUCCAUGUCUUCGAUGGUUUUCCUACCCUCUAGAAAAACUACAGUGGGGGGAGGAGAGGAGGGGAAAGGAUAGGGCCUGCGUCUGGGCCCUGUAGUACUUUUCAGGGAACUGGAAGUCACUGUGCACGGGGCUUUAUUAAAAUGAGGCCCACAGCAAAAGCUGCUCACUGUAGAGCUCCCAGACCCGCAGAACCUAUGCUGUACCCCUGGGGUUUGUGUCCUUUCAGAAAAUUGGCUUAUGCAUUAGCAUGUAGCCUCCUACUUAUGAGAAGUCAAUAAAAAGAAGAAAAGGAAUGCAUUUUGGUCAUUUAAGGGAAGGUUCUUUUGUUGCAUUUGUGUAUGCAAGCGAGUGUGUGUGCAUUCCCAAUUGGGGAUCCACAUGUGGAAUUUGGGGGGGCUUUCUGGAUUCUCUGGAUGGGAGGUGGGUGAUGGAGGGUAGAGAUUUGACUUGGCCCUCCGCCUGCUCUUUGAGGGGCUCCCCUCUUAGGUCUUCCUGGGGAUGACCAGGCCCCAGUGGGCAGGCAGAUAAGCAGGUAAAACCAUGCAGGUCUGGGGGACUCUGUGUGAACCCCCUUUCCGAGCUGCGGAGUUCUUUAGUGGGGGUACCAGAGGGAGCUUUGUGGUAACCAGGGAGUGGAAGUCCUGAAGUUCAAACUUGAGAAACGAUGAGGCUGGGUGCACGCUGAACAGCAGCCAGAGAGGGCCAUUUACUGUGAAUAUUAUGAAUGGAGUUGGCCUGGCUGGGCGUCCCCACCCUUCCUCUGAGUCCUCUCAGCGCCGGGCAGAGCUGGCCUCCUGAGAAGGCGAGCGGCCGGGUGCGCGCUAUAAUUUGCAUGGCUGAAGGCUGGGGCACAGGAAGCUGCGUCAGCCCUGCCGGCGAGACAGGCAGGAGCUUUUGAUUUGUGUGGUUCCCCUCCCCUGCUGGCACUACCCUCGACUGUAUGCUCUGAUGGCAAAAUACUGCUCUUUGGUGGGACCCCCGGUUUGGGGGCCUCAGACACAGACAUUCGAGGGGCGUUGGGAGGUGGGGGUGGGGCCAGUUUGGGAAGCAGCAGGGUACAUUUUAGCUCUAGUAACUGAUUACUCAUCCUCAUUUGUCUGUAAGGCACAGUAACAAGUCAGUCUUCUGGCCUAGCAGGACCUGCAGUAAACGUAAGCUUGGGAGUGCUUGAGGGCGGAGGGUGGUUAGUGGUGGGUGAGAAACGUCAGAGCACCAAGCCUGGGUGGGCAUUGGAAGUGAUGGCGAUAAAGCAGACCCUGCCCUCUGAGACUCACCUUUUCCUGAGGGCUGUGAAUGAUAAGACGGGAAGAGCACAAGUCUGCAGCUCUGAGAUUUUUUUUUUAAUUGGUUUAGAGAUGGACACUGUAAAAUCAGGCUCAGAUCCCCUUUCCCUUUUGAUUUUUUUUUUACUGUUGCAAAUUAAAUGCAAAAACGUGCCCUGCUCCCCAAAUAAUGAUUUUCUUGCUCUCUGGAAGGUAGUAAAAAUAAAUGGAACCCAGUGCUGUUAAACACUGCUCGGGCACAUUUGUGAAUCAGAGUGUAAGCAGGCUCUCCUAGAGCCUGAAGGGGACACAUUUUGCCCCAGUCCCCCAUCAUAGGAGCUGAGGACAGGUCAGGCUGAGACUCUGAGAGAACAAGUCACUUGAUCAAGGUCCCAGAGCAGAUGGCCGGCAAAGCCAACGCAUUCCCUGAUUCUUGAUGUGAGGGAGGUGGACCCCACACUCAGCCCUAAAGUAGGAAUAGCAUUGCCAAAGUGUUCUGAAGGGCACUUACUUCCCCCGCUGCCAUCUGGAGAGUACUGGUGGCUUUACGGGCCUGAGGUGGCUGCCCACCACGGCUCACCCCAGUCAGUAUUCUGGCCUUGAAUCUAAGUUCUGCUGUUCGCCAGUGGCCUGUGCCUCAUUUCCCUCUUCUGUAGUGUAAGAAUGGUAAUAGCACGCAACCUCAACCUCAUAGGGUUGUUAGGAGCCCUUUCCAACCAGGCCUGGACAUAGUAAAUGCUUGUCAGAGGUAGGUAGGCACAGCCCAGAACUGUUCUCUAGCCUAGGGGGCCGGGGGCAGGGGGUCACCAAUUUAUGGAGCAAUUGGAACAUCUGAGAUACCCAAGAGGUGUUUAUUCCAUGUAUAUAGUUGAAAGCCGGGCACUGGCCCCUGCCACUGUCACGUCAUCACAGCAACCCUAUGAGGCUGGUAUGGGCAGCUCUGUCUUAGGGAUAUGUCUGUCAUUGCCAAGGUGCCAAGGUAGAUCUGAAUGGGAUGUCUGGCUCCAUGUCUGGUCACCUCUCACGGGGUAGGGGUGACAUACUAUGGCUGGAACUCCCUAAGGGUGGGAUUUGGGGAGUUCAGCUGGUUGGUCCCAGGGACCUGAGGAAGCACCCAGCCUUGGAAGGAGACCCUCCGGCACCCCCUGCCUGCUCCCAGGUCCAGCGACCUCAGUGGAAAAACCUUGUUGAAAAGCUCCAGAAGAAAUCCAACCUUUUCAGUGCUGCCUUCUACCAGCCAGAUGACAUUCUCCGAUCCAGCUUGGGGUAGUGAUGAUGGGGUAGGUCUGAGUGUUUUGUGGGUAACUGAGAGCUAACCUGAACUGUUGGAGUUUCUUUCAACCCCCAUGGGUAGCCCAGGAGUUGUCUGUGCUGCCCUAAGGCGUCUGUGGGAGGCCUGGUGUAAUCCCCUCAUGUUCCAAGUGAGGUGAACCUGGCCGAUCAGAGCUGACCCCAGAACCCACAUUGCGUCCAGAAACUUCACGUGUUUGCUUUAGUUCUUGGUCAUUUUUUCUUUCUUAAAAUCAAGAGACCAGCAAGGGUCCUCAUUGCAAGUAUCUGGGAUGAUAAUAGAUUGGAUAGACCGACUGGCCCAUCCGUCUCAGUCCUUAUCCCUGAAGUGGGCUGCUUGUUCUCAGAACAGCCUGUUUCCUGACCAGGGUGGGGAGCAGGGCUGGCUGGGGCUGCUGACCUUUGAGGUGGGGGAGGACAGGAUGAGGCAGCCCUUGGUGGUGCCUGAGUCCCGAGGAAGGGGAGGACCCUGGACCUGCGGCCGGCGGGGCGUGGUGGUGUUUGCGUUCCCGGCUUGCCAGGUUUUAACUGCUGAGUCUCUCCGUUGGUGCCCUUUGCUUGCCCCGUCAGCCUGCGGUAAGGCAGCCAUUUCGCCCAGUCUGCCAUCUCCCUGCCUUCUCCAUCCCCAGCCUUGUGCUCUGCUGGACCCCUGGCAGUGGGGCGGGACAGGAUAGGGCUCAGGCCUGUCCCACUGUUGGAUUUUGGUAAAGAGAUACCCCUUUAUAAUCCAGGUGCCUCGCAGAGACAGGAGAGUUGAGACCCCUCGUUGCUCACUGUUUACUCCAGCUCCCUUGUGCCCUGGCAGUUCACGUCCAAGGCAGGGCCAGCCGCUGUGGCUCCAUGUAUGCUGCCUUCGUUUCCCAACUCACCUCUUUCCUAAAGGGCCAGAACCUCUGGGCACCCCAGCGCCCCCCACCCCAGCACUGCCUUUGUGUGAGGGCACUGCUGGGCUCAUGUUGCCCUGCUCUCAGGCAUCCCCACUGGCCUCACAGAAUCCCACUGGGUGUCUUGGGAAGAGUUCUGCCUCUCCAGCCUCAACGGUCGACUUCAUGAGCUAGAGGCCAGAAAUGGUGCCCCCGAAGCCCUGAACUGAAUCCUGCUUCCCUCCUUCCAUCUUCCUUCAUCCCCUCACACCUUCAAAUAGAAAAAUGUUAAAAGGGGGGAAAUUCCUCGCUUACCUAAAAUGGGGCCUCGAGGUCUGGUCACCUAAUGCCAUUGAGACCCUGAGCUGAGGGGUACUUAAAUAACUCUUUGUAAGAGGCAGGGAGCUCCUUGUUGCGUGGUCUUCCCUAAUGCAAGUGCAAACACAAGCGAAAUCCUUCCCCUUCUCAACACCCACAAACCCCCUUCCUUUUAAAGGGUAGAUUUUAUGCUUUAAGGGAAACGGGAAAGGGAGGAGAACAAACAACCUUGAAGGAAUUUUAGGCCGAUUCAGCUUUUUGCUGGGGUUGCUCCAAAAACUCCCUCAACUGUAAUAAAAAGAAAAAAUCGUGAGCAGGCAUCUGAUUAGUUAGCUUUCUACGGCACAGCUUUUCUUUUAGAUGCUUUUAAAUGCACAAAUACAGUGUUAAAUGAAGCCCCUGCACAUAACAGUUUUCUGAGGAGGGAGAGUUGUUGCUGAAAUACUGGAAGAGGUUGUAAAGCCGGGGGACGUUCAUGGGGGACAGCGAGCCUUGCCUUUGGAGGUGAAGUGUCAGCAACCAUGAUAAGAAGCCGAAGUUGGGUUCCUGAGGCCCUUCAUCCUCGUAACGAGGGAGACUUCCCCGUGUGAAUCGUCCCCGCCUCCUGCCACGAGGCCUGGGAAGCCCCCAGGAGCUAAGCGUCUCCACACGUCUUGUGGGGAGAUGCUUGUGGGCUGUGGACUCAGUUCAUGGAACUGUGUUUCUCUGAAAGUGAUGCUGUUUCCUAGAAAUGAGCCCAAAUGGUGGGGAAUUUGGGGCAGAUCUGUGACUUGUCAGUGUGGGCUGUACAAGGCCCCCAGAAGUGUGAUGUGUUAAAGAGGCCUUCUCUGUUGGGAUGGUGUGGCUGGAGAGCGGGGGUUUGUGCUCAGACAGAUUGUGCAGGAGCAGUGCAGAGCAAAGGGGCACCAGGGCACUGGGAGGCUGUGGCGGGGUUGGCGGGGGGCAGGGUAAGUGGAGGAGAGGGGCCAGCAAGGGUCCUUCUGUGGCAGAGUAGGGCCCCUAGUGGGCCUUCAGUGGCCUUGCUCACACACAGGGACACCCAUACGCUGCCGUUUAUCUGGACUGGGACAUUAAUUAACCUUAACAGAAAAAGGCUUUUUCCAGGAGAUGUCUGGCAGCAAAUUGGGUGGACGGGCGGGCGGCACAGAUGAGAAACGCCCCGGAAUGCUUCCCCACCCCAACCCCCACCCCGUGGUGCUGGGCCGAGCUCAGCCGACCUAAGGCCUGGCCCCCGCCAGCUUCCUCUGCCCCACGAGGCCCACGGGGCAGACAAGGCCCCCCCCCAUGCCAGUGGACUUGGCACAGGGGCACCAGAGCCCACACCACCCUCCCCACACCUCUUCUCCCGCCUCUCUCCUACUAGCGGGUGCCAGGUUUCAGGGGGGCCGGGCUCCAUGAAACGCAGUAUUGUAAGGCUUUGCCGAGGGUCUCCUGCACUCCCUCCCAGCCACCGUCCGGUCUUCCUUUCCAGGUCCGGUUUGUCCUGGGUUGGGAUAAAGGAGAGCUUCUUAAAUUUCAAAACACUCUCCUCCCUGAAACAGACGGGUGGACGCCCUGUGCCUUCCAGAAGAAGGCUUUCUCCUUUCUAGUAAACUUGCCAGAGUAUUCUCACUUACAUGGAGGUUAUGGGUCUUUAGUGUAGUCUUCGGAGCUAAACUCCCUCAGCAAGAAAGUUCAAAGAUUGCCAGUGCUCACGAGUUUACUAGCAGUUGAUGGAUACUUUGCAGAAACAAGUUAAUGCCUGAUGAGUCACCUUCUGCUUGGAGCCCUUGUCCCUCUCGUUUUUCCAUAUGUUCCAGUUUGUAUGCACACUAAUACACAUAUGUGUGCUCACACUCCUGGACACACAUUCUCUCUCACACCUGUAGUUUAUGGGUGCAUGUGUUGGGGGCGGCAGGCCAGUCCUCUGGGGUGGGGAUUGAGGGAGAGGAAUGAGCCUUUCGUGUCCCCAUUUUGUGUAGCUGUCUGGGCAGACACUUGAGAAGGUCAGUCGAGGAGACUGUAGGAGACGGCUGCUCUGGUGUGUGUGGCUGCCUCAGUGGGUCACAGUGCACAUUUGUACAGACUUAUUCAUGGGACACCUCUAUGUAAGACUGGCUGCUGCAUUAAAAAAAAAAAAAGUUAAUGGGACUGACUGGUUCCCAGGUCCUAACAUGCCUGUAAGUGUCGGAAUAAGUUAGUGUACUGAGCUGUACCGGGUCACACAGCUUUCCUGCACCUCCAGCUGGGCUGUACAACCCAUCAUCUGUGACCCUCAGUUGUUCCAAAACGAAAAAGGCCAAACCGUAAAACAUCUCACAGCCAAUCCCACCUUCAUGCUCAAACCCUCUCCCGCCACAGCUGAGAAGCAGGGCUGCAGGGGGAGGACAGGAGGCCCAUGCUUCAGGCUUUCCCCCCUGCCUUUCCCCAUUUUUGUUAACAAAUACAAGACUUCCGGUCUCCACCCUGCCACCGCAAACCGCAGCGUUCCUGCAGCCCAGCCGGUGGGAGAUUUAUGGUUCCCGGCCAGAGGCCUGCCCUGCCGGCUCCAGCUUGAGUCAGAAUGCCAGCCACUGGGGCUCCCUUUCCCUCCAUAUGACCCCCCUUUAAAGACCCCUGAGUGCCUGGUUAGGAAUAUCACCUUACCAGAAUCAGUCUCCCAGGCUGCCGGAGGAAGGGCCUCUUCUAGGAAGGCUGGGGUGGGGUCUCCAGAGGAGGGGGGCAGGGCACUGAGAGGCUUCUGGGAGGUGGUGCAGGCAGAGAAGGGGAACUUCAAGGAAGGUCACCCCCAUUUUACACAGAUAGUCUGUCUCAGCUGGAUGGGGCUUCGAUAAGGUAGCCUGGGUUUGCACCAGUCUGCGGGUUGUGAUUUGGCAUUUUGACAUGAAUCUACCCUUUGUGCACAGACAGAGUGGCUUUUUUUUUUUUUUUUUUUUUAAGGAAGAUAGAUGUUUUUGCCCCAAAUCACCUUCAUUUUAACUUUUAACCAGAUAGCACUCCCUUACGACCAGGGACCAGAGCAGCCAAGUUUUCUCAUGAGGAUGACCAGGGACUGGAGCAGCCAGCCUUCAAGGUUCCAUCCAGUUUAAAGAACUAAUUCUAGACCAUGUAUAAGACCUUUUCUGGCCCCCAAACAAGGACCGGCCAGGUUACCAAGGGUCCCCUGGCUUCUGAGCUCUGCAGAGAUAGGGCCACUUUUGGCCAGGUGGGCACAUGCACUGCCGUCCUGAUCCCUGGCAGGAUGAUGCAGUGGAGAGAAGAGGCACCCCAGCAAGCCCCAUGUUCAAAGGCAGGUUCGGUCUUCUAUCACUGGGUCAAGAUUUCUAGGCCCUGCAGGAGGACUGCAGGACCUCUUGAGCCUCCAGCGCCACCGUGGCCGCCUCCUGUCACGUCCUGAGAGCUGAGCCAGUUACAGGGGUGCUGUGUCUUGAUGGCAGGGGCAGUCUCCAUCACCACCAACCGUGUCUGACAUUUUCUU